AUUCACUCCUUAAGCUAGACUGCAGGCAUAGAACGCUGGCGGCGUGCUUAACACAUGCAAGUCGAGCGAUCAAGUUUCCUUCGGGAAACGGAUUAGCGGCGGACGGGUGAGUAACACGUGGGUAACCUGCCUCAUAGAGUUGAAUAGCCUUCCGAAAGGAAGAUUAAUACCGCAUAACGUUGAAAGAUGGCAUCAUCAUUCAACCAAAGGGGCAAUCCGCUAUGAGAUGGACCCGCGGCGCAUUAGCUAGUUGGUGGGGUAACGGCCUACCAAGGCGACGUUGCGUAGCCGACCUGAGAGGGUGAUCGGCCACAUUGGGACUGAGACACGGCCCAGACUCCUACGGGAGGGAGCAGUGGGGAAUAUUGCACAAUGGGGGAAACCCUGAUGCAGCAACGCCGCGUGAGUGAUGAAGGUUUUAGGAUCGUAAAGCUCUGUCUUUGGGGAAGAUAAUGACGGUACCCAAGGAGGAAGCCACGGCUAACUACGUCCCAGCAGCCGCGGUAAUACGUAGGUGGCGAGCGUUAUCCGGAUUUACUGGGCGUAAAGGGAGCGUAGGCAGAUGAUUAAGUGGGAUGUGAAAUACCCGGGCUCAACUUGGGUGCUGCAUUCCAAACUGGUUAUCUAGAGCGCAGGAGAGGAGAGUGGAAUUCCUAGUGUAGCGGUGAAAUGCGUAGAGAUUAGGAAGAACACCAGUGGCAAAGGCGACUCUCUGGACUGUAACUGACGCUGAGGCUCGAAAGCGUGGGGAGCAAACAGGAUUAGAUACCAUGGUAGUCCACGCCGUAAACGAUGAAUACUAGGUGUGGGGGUUUCAACACCUCCGUGCCGCCGCUAACGUAUUAAGUAUUCCGCCUGGGGAGUACGGUCGCAAGAUUAAAACUCAAAGGAAUUGACGGGGACCCGCACAUGUAGCGGAGCAUGUGGUUUAAUUCGAAGCAACGCGAAGAACCUUACCUACACUUGACAUCCCUUGCAUUGCUCUUAAUCGAGGAAAUCCCUUCGGGGACAAGGUGACAGGUGGUGCAUGGUUGUCGUCAGCUCGUGUCGCGAGAUGUUGGGUUAAGUCCCGCAACGAGCGCAACCCUUGUCGUUAGUUACUACCAUUAAGUUGAGGACUGUAGCGAGACUGCCUGGGUUAACCAGGAGGAAGGUGGGGAUGACGUCAAAUCAUCAUGCCCCUUAUGUGUUGGGCUACACACGUGCUACAAUGGCUGGUACAGAGAGAUGCAAUACCGCGAGGUGGAGCCAAACUUAAAAGCCAGUCUCAGUUCGGAUUGUAGGCUGAAACUCGCCUACAUGAAGCUGGAGUUACUAGUAAUCGCGAAUCUGAAUGUCGCGGUGAAUACGUUCCCGGGUCUUGUACACACCGCCCGUCACACCAUGAGAGUUGGCAAUACGCGAAGUCCGUGAGCUAACCGCAAGGAGGCAGCGGCCGAAGGUAGGGUCAGCGAUUGGGGUGAAGUCGUAUCAAGGUAGC
rnacentral:rRNA from 1 species